GAUGAACGCUGGCGGCGUGCCUAAUACAUGCAAGUCGAGCGAACAGACGAGGAGCUUGCUCCUUCGACGUUAGCGGCGGACGGGUGAGUAACACGUAGGUAACCUACCUAUAAGACUGGGAUAACUUCGGGAAACCGGAGCUAAUACCGGAUAAUAUUUCGAACCGCAUGGUUCGAUAGUGAAAGAUGGCUUUGCUAUCACUUAUAGAUGGACUUGCGCCGUAUUAGCUAGUUGGUAAGGUAACGGCUUACCAAGGCAACGAUACGUAGCCGACCUGAGAGGGUGAUCGGCCACACUGGAACUGAGACACGGUCCAGACUCCUACGGGAGGCAGCAGUAGGGAAUCUUCCGCAAUGGGCGAAAGCCUGACGGAGCAACGCCGCGUGAGUGAUGAAGGUCUUCGGGUCGUAAAGCUCUGUUAUUAGGGAAGAACAAACGUGUAAGUAACUGUGCACGUCUUGACGGUACCUAAUCAGAAAGCCACGGCUAACUACGUG
rnacentral:rRNA from 1 species